AAACAGAACUGGCCCCAAUACUGAGCCUUGGGAAACACCACUAGUGCCCAGCUGCCAACUGGAUGUGGCACCAUGCACCAACACUGGGUGGCCCUGGGCCCAGCCAUCCAGCCAGUUCUUAACCCAGCCAGGGCACCUGUCCAAGCCAUGGCCAGACAGCUUUUCUAGGAGUAUGCUAUAGGAGACAGUGUCAGAGGCUUUGCUGAAGCCCAGGUAGACCACAUCCACAGCCUUCCCCUCAUCCACCAAGUGGGUCACUGGUAAUAAAGGAGAUCAGGUUGGUGAGGUAAGGCCUGCCUUUAAUAAACCCAUCAUGGCUGGGCCUGCUCUCCUGGUUGUCCUAUAUGCUGCGUGAUUACACUAAAGAUGACAUUUUCCACAACCUUGCUGGAUACUAAGGACAGGCUGAGACCCCUGCAGUUCCAUGGAUCCUUCUUCCAGACCUUCUUGUGGAUGAGCGCAACAUUGGCUAACCUCCAGUCAUCUGGGACCUUUCUGGUUAGCCAGGAUUGAUGCUAAAUAAUGACAUUUGAGAAGGGAAGGGCAAAGGGAGAGAACAACACAGCUCCUGCAGCACUUCCACACCUUCAAGAAAGGAGUCCAAACUUCAGAUUCCAAGAGGAUUAUCAUUGUAAACUUCAGUUAGAUGAUAAAAACACAGCUACUUUCAGUAAACUGUAGAGGAGAAAGAAAAGGAGCAAUGCAAGGAAUUUUCAGAAUGCAGGUUCUAACUUUGCAAAUGACAUAAAGAUUGCCCCUUACCUGCUCACCUAUAAGCAAAUAAAAGAUGCACUUGAACAAUGUAAAUAAGCAAACCUCUUCAAAAUAUUUUGGGAGGAAUAAGUUAUCAAUGUAUUUUGCAUACUUUUUGGGUACUGAAUCAACACCUGAUUUUAAAAGAACUUCCUCCAAGUUGCAUAUAAAUGAAUCAAACACAUGGCAGUCAAAUGCAUUUCCUGUACCAAGGCUGCCUUUCUAAAUUCCCAUCCUCAUGAAAACAUGAAAGAACUCUCCCACAUUUAUACCCCAUUAUCUGUAUACAGAAAGCAUGCAGAAAUGUACAUAUGGAAUUAAUUUACACAGAAGUGUUGAAUGGGCACAAACGAAAGGUCAAAAAUGCCCUUUUCAAAGUUCAGAUGGGGGAAAAAAGGAAAAAGACAACUGAAGACAAUAAAAACUUAAUUUUUAAAUGAACAGAG